GGGUUGUGAGGUUAAGCGACUAAGCGUACACGGUGGAUGCCCUGGCAGUCAGAGGCGAUGAAGGACGUGCUAAUCUGCGAUAAGCGUCGGUGAGGUGAUAUGAACCGUUAUAACCGGCGAUUUCCGAAUGGGGAAACCCAGUGUGAUUCGUCACACUA
rnacentral:rRNA from 1 species